CUGCCUUUUUAAAAUAUUUGAAACUUCAAUUUUAUUAUACAAUUUGUGGAAAAAAUAAAUUAAGAAUAAAUUUCCUACAAAGCAUGGAAGAAAGAGCAGGAUGGGCAGGGUCAGGGGUUGAGGGCAUGGGAGUGUUCUAGGGAAUGUCUCUAUGAUGUGUUUUGCAGGUGGGGGCUGAGGAGACUCCUCGUGGAUGCAGAUGUGCUCCUGCCUGGAUUCUGUGCAAAGAAGCUUGAGCCAGUCAGCACACCUCACUCCUGCACCAUGAUGUCAUCAUCCACAGAGCUCAGGGUCUUCUGGCUGGCUGUCGGUUCUGUCAAUGUGGGCAUGGCAUUUCCAUUGGAGCCUCUCUGUUCCUGGACACUGGCCGAGGGAAGCAUGGUAUACAGCAGAGUUUUUGCAUGCAUUUGGUGAUGUUCCUCCUUAGUCUCUUCCAACCCUUGCUUCUGUAGUGGGAUUGCCCUGUGGAGGUACCUUAGGAAGAUGAGCUCUCCUGGGCUCAGGAUUAUGCAGGGAAGUUAGGCUGUGAGGGCGUGUGUCCCUGUUGAGGAAGCUGAGAGGAAUAACAGGCAUGCUGGCAAUUCCAGCAGCCUUCUGCAAGGACUGCUUGGCUGCCUCAUGCUGCAGCUACUCGUGGGGCAAGGGAAGAGCAGGCUUACUAGAAUACUUCCAGGGCAGAGCCAGGGAGGAUAUGCGGGGCCCAGGUGAUGCACAGGCUUCACCUGGAACCCAAAGCCUGCCCCUGGGUUCUCUGGUGCUCCAGUAUGAGGUACGUGGCCAUCAUGUUGUCCUUGAAUCUUCAACGUGGUACGGACACUCAGGUACUAUAGGGAUGGUAACCCAUGUCCACCAUGAUUUUCAAAAUUGUGGGAUCUGGGAGUUAGAAGAGUGCCUCACUCGAAGGACUGGGUGUGAAGCUUCCUCUCCCUGGCUCAGCCAUGGGUACUCCAUUAUCUGCUCUAAGUUGGGCCUCUGUGUGGGGUUCACCGUCAAGAUCUCAUUGAUGAGGCUCUGUGCUCCCUCAGAAACAUGUGGGGGAAUGUCAUACAUUCCCUACGUGAUCAGCUUCUUCAGCUGCUUAUUGCUGGUUGCCACAAAUGGGCAUCUCCCUGUGAGCAUAAAAUAGAGAAUGACUUCCAGGCUCCAGAUUUCUGGGGCGUGGGGGGAGGCAUUGAAUUCCUUCCAAUGGACAACUUUAGAGGCAACUUAGAGGAGAGUACCCCAGAACCUGUUCAGCUUCUUCCCAGCUGUGAAUCUUGUGCUCAGGCCAAAGUCGAUGAGUUUGACGUUGCUGCUGGCAUCCACCACCACGUUCUCUGGCUUCAAAUCAAGGUGCAUGAUACCCAUCUUGUGGCAGUACUGCACCACAUGCACGAUCCACCUGAACAGUCUGUGGGCUCCUCCUUCCGCAUGACAUCAGGUUCCUGGAUGAGGUCCCAUAGCUGUCCCCCCUCUGCAUGUUCCAUGAUAAGGUAGAUAUAUUCGAUGGUCUCAAUGACCUAGAAGAGCUGGAUCAUGUUCUGGUGGUCCAAGGCUGCCAUCAUCACCAGUUCAGAAAGAAAGGGGAAGUUCCAGACCUCUUUUGCCAAAACCUUCAACCACAACCUCUAUCACCUGGGCAAAGCCUCCCUCCUCAAUGUCCUGCAGGACCAUAUAAUGGUCCGUGAGGUGGGCUCAUAGCAGGAGCCUUGCCCCUAAGGCACUACACUGCUCUGACUACGCUCUCUAUGAAUCUUAAGCUGGAAUGAGGAUGCUAGCUAAAAUAAUAAUAAUAAUAAACCAAAACAAAAAAACAAAAAGCAAAAGCAAAAAAAUAUAUAUAUAUUUUAAAAACCCAAAUCAAAAACCAAUAUCCAAAGACCACAACCACCAGCCACCAACCACCACCAAAUGGGCUAACUAUCUGGGAGUCUGACAGGUCACCACCAAGAGCUUCCUGUACUUAUAGACAAAAGACCCAGCUGCAGCUACCCUCUUAAAUAACUACUGUUUGAAAUUCCCUCACAAUGGCUCCUUCUGAGCUCAAAGCACGAAAUGACCCAGUCAACCCUGGGCAUGACUCUCAGUGGUCAUCUCACUUUGGGGCUUCUAAGAACUUUUCCACUUUCAUGACAAGAAGAAAAAACUCUGGAAGAUUUUUUGCUUUAGUACAUUAUGGUGACCCAUAUUUACUUGUUUAGAAAUUAAAAUUUGUAGGAUACUUCAGCAGUCUUCUCAUUUCAAGUCUGAAAAUCCGUAAUAUCUUUGUGGCUUUGAAAAACCUCAUCAUAGCUACACUCAAGGUUUCUGCUUCUUUGCUGCCCUGAACUGAACAGUUUUCCUCCCCUGGGCCCUUGCCCCAUGAUAGACUGACUGCCUCACCUUGGGCAGAGCAGUAGAGUCAGCUAUCUAUGAACUGAGACCUCUGGAACUGUUAGUCCUAGAGAAGCUUUUUCUCUUCCAAGUGGGAUCCGGGAGUUUGAAGAGUGCCUCACUUGUUCUUGUUGGGUGUUUUGCUCACAGAGACAAAAGAAAGCUAAUUAAAACACAGCGCCCACCUUGACAAAUGGACGUGUGUGGGGGGUGGGGGGGUGGGGGGGGUGUGCUGGGAACUGGACCAGGUCCUUGCACAUGCUGGAGAAGUUCUCUUAAUGUGCACAUUCCCAUCCCUGGGGUUGGGGGUUCCUGGCCUAACCAGCUCUCAAUAUGUUAUAUUGAGGCUGAACUGUCAGCAGGAAUUUUGGAGGGAUUCACACAUUCAAGCCACAGCAUGUGACAAGAGCCGAGGGAGUUGGUCCCCACUAGAUGUGCCCUGUGUGAGGGGAGUCCUUCAGGUUACAUGAAAGGAGAUUAAAUAGGAGUUUAGACUUUAAUGAAGAUAGAAAAUUUCUGGGAAAGCAAAUUUAUGACAAUUAUAAAAGCUAGGGUUACUUUUGUGUUCUAUAUGAUGUAAGAGAAUAAUGUAUCAAAACACCACAGUUUUAUCCUAUGAUAUUGAGUUACUGAGGGGGAGGGGUUGGAAACAGCAACCACAUCUGUACACUGCUGAAGUCAUGCUGCUAUAGAUUCACAUCAGAGUGGCAUCUCUCAUGUGAAAUGGAACCCCAUGGGAACCAUAAAAAAUGAUUGUAGAACAUACCCAAGAUGAGAGGUAAGGAAUUAAAAUGUUUCACUACAAUCAUCAAGUAGGAGGGAAGAUGAUCAUAUAACAAAGCAAGUUAGAUUGAAUCAAAGCUUGUGCUGUUUCCUUAGAAGGAAAUAAGGCACAGUGAGCCAAGGGCCUAGCCUGUUGUCCUUAUGAGGACACAAACCACACAGUGUUCUAAGGCUUUCUAACAACAGUGAAAUAAGGAAAAAAGUUUGCUGUAAUACACCUUUGUCCUGCUAGGAAUUAUUCUACUUGCAAUGUGGUCAUUUCUGGCCAAAUCACUUCAAGUUUAAAGUUGACCAAAUGCUUUUCCCAUCCUAGAGCAAUUUAGAGUCCAGUACACUAGUUUUCUAAUCGUUAAAACCUAAUAAUAGAAAGUCCUGUUGAAAGUAGCUUAGGUUCAUAAUCAGGUAAUUGAAGCAUUUUUAUUUGUGUUCUAACAAAAUAUUUAAAGUAGGCAAUCUGAAAUUCUUUUUUGAAUCAAAUUGGAUUGAAUAUCUCUAAUUUGAUAUUAGUAGUCACAGGGAGUCUUCUAACAUAUUUAAAAAAAAUAGUUUUGGAAACAGAGAGUAAAGCUCAUUGGUAUAGCACCUGCCUAGCAUGUGCAAGACCCUGCGUUUGAUUCCAACUGUGGAAAAAAUAGUUUUAAAAUCCUUUCAUAAUCCUACUAUAGAAUCAUGAAAAAGUUUUAAAAAUCAAAAGCAUCCACCUUCCGAUUAUGCAUUUAAAUAUUUCACUUAUGUGUUAUCAUCACAGAUCAGUAAGUUAUCCUUUAUUACUCUAAAAGUUUGCCUUUUAUUACCAACUAUAUGCUGUGUUUCCAAAAAAACUCAACUUACCACAUAAGAUAGUAAUGAUUCUUAGUGCUUUCUUCCAACUCUACCAUCUCUCACUUUUAUUUUUAUUUACUCUUUUUAGAAGAACCCUCACUUUUAUGUAAGAUGAGAACCAGAGCAAGUGAACAAUAAUCCAGGGGCGCUUUACCACUGAGCCACAUCCCCAGCGCUCCCCCCCCCCCUUUUUUUUUAAAUUUUGAGACAGGAUCUUGCUAAACUGCUCAUGGCCUAAGUUGCUGAAGAUGGUCUCAAAUUUGUGAUCCUCCUGCCUCAGCCUCCUGAGUUGCUGGGAUUACAGGCAUGUGCCACUGCACCUGGCUCCAUUUCUUUAUAACAGAUGAGAACUAAAGGAAACAUGCUGGUUUUAUGAUUCUUACUUCAUGAGUAAAAACUGGCCUCACCAGCAUAGGUUUUCUGGUUCUAAUCUGACCAUGCUCCUUGACCUUUGAACUGUUCCUGGCUUCAACUUAUUUGGAAAUAAAGAAACUGAAAUGUUUUUCAAGUAUAUUUUGUGAAUACAUAAGUUAUAGACACUGACUUCUGAACAUGUGGGAAAUACACAAAAAUAGCUCAUAAUCUUAUCACCCAGAUAGAGACACUGGGAACAUUUUGAUAUAGUUUAGAAAGAAGAAAAUAGUCAGGAAAAUACAUGCAUAUGCAAAUUUGAAGUAGAAUAUAGCCAUAUAUACAUAUAUAUAAAUGAACACAUUGAAAAAGUUUACUUUAUGAAAAUCAAUAAAAGUGAGAUAUGCUUGAUUUUGAGGAAAAUAUAAAUUAUAACUAUCAGAAGAAUAAACGGCAGAAAUCCUAAGUAGGCCUAUAAUGAGAAAAAAACAAUCUGAAAACAUUUGCAGAAAUCGACUUCCGUGAUAGAGGUAUCAUUAUGAUCCUUAUUUUACGUAAUGAGAAAUGGGACUUGGCAAUAGUUUCCAUGCUCAUAAUUGCCAUGCUCUUUGUGGCUCAGGUCCCCAUCAAGUCAAAGCUCAUACAGUGACAACAUAGUAGUUUUGUAACAAUCAGUAACCCACACCUACUUUGCCAGCUUGGGCUGGCUCUGGAAGAGUAGGGAGAGAAAGGAUUCCAUGCAGAGGGGACAGCAUGGCAUAAAGCAAUAUGCUGUAGAUAAUCAAUACGUUGCCAUCUCUACUAAACCCUCUUCAAGACAGUGCACAGAGACAUUAUGCUGCUUUUGACAGAAGGCAACAGUUCUCAGCGUCUUUUCCUUCUGCUAUCAUGUCACAUUAGGAUGGCAGCGCUUUGGCAGAAACCUACUGUAUCCUUCCUUAAUGAGUUGUCAGAGGUUCUGCCAUGCCAUUUGUCUCCUGAGCACGUUUUUAUGAAGGCUGUCAGUAAAGAGCAAAGAUGGGAAUAAACAAUAUAUUCACAAGUCAGCAGGAGGUUGAGAAUCUGUUCAUUCAGAAUCAGCAGGGGACUGUGGGAAAAUGCCCNGAAAGAAGAAAAUAGUCAGGAAAAUACAUGCAUAUGCAAAUUUGAAGUAGAAUAUAGCCAUAUAUACAUAUAUAUAAAUGAACACAUUGAAAAAGUUUACUUUAUGAAAAUCAAUAAAAGUGAGAUAUGCUUGAUUUUGAGGAAAAUAUAAAUUAUAACUAUCAGAAGAAUAAACGGCAGAAAUCCUAAGUAGGCCUAUAAUGAGAAAAAAACAAUCUGAAAACAUUUGCAGAAAUCGACUUCCGUGAUAGAGGUAUCAUUAUGAUCCUUAUUUUACGUAAUGAGAAAUGGGACUUGGCAAUAGUUUCCAUGCUCAUAAUUGCCAUGCUCUUUGUGGCUCAGGUCCCCAUCAAGUCAAAGCUCAUACAGUGACAACAUAGUAGUUUUGUAACAAUCAGUAACCCACACCUACUUUGCCAGCUUGGGCUGGCUCUGGAAGAGUAGGGAGAGAAAGGAUUCCAUGCAGAGGGGACAGCAUGGCAUAAAGCAAUAUGCUGUAGAUAAUCAAUACGUUGCCAUCUCUACUAAACCCUCUUCAAGACAGUGCACAGAGACAUUAUGCUGCUUUUGACAGAAGGCAACAGUUCUCAGCGUCUUUUCCUUCUGCUAUCAUGUCACAUUAGGAUGGCAGCGCUUUGGCAGAAACCUACUGUAUCCUUCCUUAAUGAGUUGUCAGAGGUUCUGCCAUGCCAUUUGUCUUCUGAGCACGUUUUUAUGAAGGCUGUCAGUAAAGAGCAAAGAUGGGAAUAAACAAUAUAUUCACAAGUCAGCAGGAGGUUGAGAAUCUGUUCAUUCAGAAUCAGCAGGGGACUGUGGGAAAAUGCCCAUUCUUUGAGCAUGGCUGUGAAGGACUACCAUUCAAGGGAGCUAAGAAAGUCUUCCCCUAUUUUAAACUCACAAGAGCCUUCUGUGGGACCUCUGUCUGCCUACAGACAGGGAAUGAAAUACAAUAUAGCAGACAUCCUAAUUGAAGAGUUCAAUCUUACUUUUGACCACUCCCCCAAAACCAAUUCAGAGACAGAUGAAUCUGAUUAGUAUCAACUAUAUAGAGAGGGCCACCGGUAUGGGGAAUGAAGUUGACAAUUACGUAUCUCAGGAUAAUUCCCACUCAAGCUGCAACAGAGGAUUUUUCUUGUUUCACUGAGGCUAUUAACUACAUGUAAAAUUUAAAAUCAAGGGGGUUUUUUUGGUGGUGAUGGUGUUUGUUUUGUCCUGAAGUUCCUAUAGUUUAUGUUAGAAGAUCUAAGGAAUAAAUUUUGAAGGCAGAUAGAUCCUGGCUCUGUGGCUUAUUUCUCUGGGGCUUUAAGCAAGUUACUUGCAAUUCUAGCUAAUAAUACCUACUUCACAGAAUUGCUGUAGAAUUAAAUGAGAUAAUGUAUGUAAAUGUCAGUAUAGAUGUGUUUAAUAAAUGACAAUCAUGAUGCUUAUGAUAAAUAUAUAAAUCCAAGAUCAGUUUAGAAUUUCCCCCAAAAAUAAUAGUUACCUUGAAGGAGAUGAAAACUUUUUAUUAAAUCUAAAUAAUUAUGAAUAAAUGAAUUAUAAAUAUUUUGUACCAAUAUUUUAUCUUCUGUAUGGUCAAUGAUACAAUCUAACCUGUUAUAUAAUUGAACAGAAAGCAGAAUCAAUUUUUGUUGUCUGUCUUAAUUUAUCACAUUUCUAGUUGCUCUACUAUACUUUGAAUACAAAUGUUCAUGUAACUGCAAAUCUUGUACAGAAUAUAGUUUUUAAAAUAAUUACAUUUUACUAUCUAACCUCCUCAAUAUAUAUGAAAAUAUAUAUGUAGUUUUAUCUACCAAAAAAAGGUUACUUAAACCAAAAAGCUAGCCUGUCCUUUAUUUUAGGACUACUUAUAUAAACUGUGUAAUUUAAAGCAUAGUUAUAAAUCAAGGGAUAUUCUUUAUUUUAAUCUUCAUUCUUCUAGUUAUUAAUCUACACUAUUAGAAAAUAAUAUUAAAGCCAGAAGGUUUCCAAGAUUUCUAUUUUAAUCCCUUCAUCAGACAAAUGUAAAAGUAAGGCCUGGAGAGGUCAGAAUUAUUAUUUUAUCUCAUCUUGACUUACAUAUAUGGUGGUUACCAUGAACAAGACAAUGUAAAUAAACAUUUGAAGGAUAUAUUAACUGCAUACCAGGGAACAUGAAAUUUCCCAAAGCUGAAUUGACUUGACCAAACAGCAAUGGUACCAAGCUUAAUAUUUUAACAUUUUUUGUCUUCAGAAUCGCAGCAACUAUAAAUAAUAAUACAGCCUGGGAAUUACUAAAUAUAAUAGAACUAAAAUUUGGUAUGAAAUAAUUCUUGAUUUUCCUGUAUUAACUGGUUCUCCACACCUAAGGAUAAAUAUCAGUUAUUUGGACCAUUGGGAAUAACAUUCGAUGCCUCAUUUCUAUAGUUCCUUAAGUAAGUUCCUUACUUAAUGCAUGGAAAAAGUGUUGUCUAGUGCCUUAACCUGAAAAUACUUCUGAGGGACCCUUGUUUUAGCUGCUGUAUAGAAUUGUGGUUUCAGAAUCACAUCUAGUUUGGUGAAAUUUCAUGUUUCCUGGUAUGUGGUUAAUAUAUCCUUCAAAUAUUUAUCUAUAUUAUCUUGUUCUCUGUAAGUGCAGCUUAUAUAGAUCAAGAUGAGAUAAAAUAAUUCUGAAUAGAAGAUUAUAAGAAUAAC
rnacentral:lncRNA from 1 species